rnacentral:rRNA from 1 species
CGUGAAAUUGUUGAAAGGGAAGCGCUUGCAACCAGACUUGAGCGCGGCGGUUCCCCUAGCCUUUUGGCUAGGCUACUCCGCCGUGUCCAGGCCAACCUCGGUUCUGAGGGUCGGUUAAAGGCCUUGGGAAUGUAUCUACCUACGGGUAGACUUAUAGACCAGGGUGUCAUGCGGCCUCUCGGGACCGAGGAACGCGCUUCGGCUCGGAUGUUGGCGUAAUGGUUGUCAGCGACCCGUCUUGAAACACGG